rnacentral:rRNA from 1 species
CUACGGGUUGCACCAGUGGGGAAUAUUGCACAAUGGAGGAAACUCUGAUGCAGCAACGCCGCGUGGAGGAUGACACUUUUCGGAGCGUAAACUCCUUUUAUAUAGGAAGAAGAUGACGGUACUAUAUGAAUAAGCGCCGGCUAACUCCGUGCCAGCAGCCGCGGUAAUACGGAGGGCGCAAGCGUUACUCGGAAUCACUGGGCGUAAAGAGCGUGUAGGCGGAUUAAAAGGUCAGAAGUGAAAUCCUAUAGCUUAACUAUAGAACUGCUUCUGAAACUCUUAAUCUAGAAUAUGGGAGAGGUAGAUGGAAUUUCUGGUGUAGGGGUAAAGUCCGUAGAGAUCAGAAGGAAUACCGAUUGCGAAGGCGAUCUACUAGAACAUUAUUGACGCUGAGACGCGAAAGCGUGGGGAGCAAACAGGAUUAGAUACCCGGGUAGUC